rnacentral:rRNA from 1 species
AUUGAACGCUGGCGGCAUGCCUUACACAUGCAAGUCGAACGGUAACGGGUCCUUCGGGAUGCCGACGGGUGGCGAACGGGUGAGUAAUAUAUCGGAACGUGCCCAGUAGUGGGGGAUAACUGCUCGAAAGAGCAGCUAAUACCGCAUACGACCUGAGGGUGAAAGGGGGGGAUCGCAAGACCUCUCGCUAUUGGAGCGGCCGAUAUCAGAUUAGCUAGUUGGUGGGGUAAAGGCCUACCAAGGCAACGAUCUGUAGUUGGUCUGAGAGGACGACCAGCCACACUGGGACUGAGACACGGCCCAGACUCCUACGGGAGGCAGCAGUGGGGAAUUUUGGACAAUGGGCGCAAGCCUGAUCCAGCAAUGCCGCGUGCAGGAAGAAGGCCUUCGGGUUGUAAACUGCUUUUGUCAGGGAAGAAAUCUUCUGGGCUAAUACCCCGGGAGGAUGACGGUACCUGAAGAAUAAGCACCGGCUAACUACGUGCCAGCAGCCGCUGUAA